rnacentral:rRNA from 1 species
CUACGGGGUGCAGCAGUGAGGAAUAUUGCACAAUGGGGGGAACCCUGAUGCAGCAACGCCGCGUGGAGGAUGACGCAUUUCGGUGUGUAAACUCCUUUUAUAUGUCAAGAAAAUGACGGUAGCAUAUGAAUAAGCACCGGCUAACUCCGUGCCAGCAGCCGCGGUAAUACGGAGGGUGCAAGCGUUACUCGGAAUAACUGGGCGUAAAGGACGCGUAGGCGGGUUGGAAAGUCAGGUGUGAAAUCCUACAGCUUAACUGUAGAACUGCACUUGCAACUUCUAAUCUAGAGUAUGGGAGGGGGAGAUGGAAUUAGUGGUGUAGGGGUAAAAUCCGUAGAUAUCACUAGGAAUACCUAAAGCGAAGGCGAUCUCCUGGAACAUUACUGACGCUAAGGCGUGAAAGCGUGGGGAGCAAACAGGAUUAGAUACCCGGGUAGUC